rnacentral:rRNA from 1 species
UACGUAGGGUGCAAGCGUUGUCCGGAAUUAUUGGGUGUAAAGAGCUCGUAGGCGGUCUGUCACGUCGGCUGUGAAAUCCCGAGGCUCAACCUCGGGUCUGCAGUCGAUACGGGCAAACUAGAGUAUUGCAGGGGAGACUGGAAUUCCUGGUGUAGCGGUGAAAUGCGCAGAUAUCAGGAGGAACACCGGUGGCGAAGGCGGGUCUCUGGGCAAUAACUGACGCUGAGGAGCGAAAGCGUGGGGAGCGAACAGG